UACGGAGGGUGCGAGCGUUGUUCGGAAUUACUGGGCGUAAAGGGCUCGUAGGCGGCCAACUAAGUCAGACGUGAAAUCCCUCGGCUUAACCGGGGAACUGCGUCUGAUACUGGAUGGCUUGAGUUUGGGAGAGGGAUGCGGAAUUCCAGGUGUAGCGGUGAAAUGUGUAGAGAUCGGGAGGAACACCGGUGGCGAAGGCGGGUCUCUGGGCAAUUCCUGACGCUGAGGCGCGAAAGCGUGGGGAGCAAACGGG
rnacentral:rRNA from 1 species